rnacentral:lncRNA from 1 species
CAUACAGGAAGUGUCCUGUCUGACAAUUUGUUCUCCUUCUGUGGCAUCUCUAUCAAAAAUACAGCAUCUCUGCCUUAACGUGACAUUUUCUAAGGCUUCCUUUGGCUCUCAGAACGCGCCAGAAAGUGGAAUGACAUCUCUGCAGUCUAUGGGCGAAGAACAGCAGGAGUUUUUGUGAGUGGUCAUGCAGGGAACAAUGACACAGGAGAUGCGUGUCCACGAGACGACUCCAUGUUUUUCUUUCAGUCUUUGAAUGAAUACAACGUCGCCCGAUUCUUGGUUCGACACAACCCAAGAUGAUGAACCAUGAAGAUGGGAUAAAGUGCAUGACAAAGUGGCCCAGAGGAAGCCAGCUGUUCUCAACCCUUACUGUACAUUUCCCCGCUCUUCCAAGAGCUCACUGAGCUCUCUUGAAUUAAAACCUCUAGUGAGGGGUGAGAAGAGCUGACAAAUCAGAACUGAGGAGGAUUGUUACAGAGCCCCAUGAGGAACACAUGAUGCUACGCUGACUUCUCUCUCCUGGAUGCACUCCUGCCCAAACUGUCCCAUUGUGUGUUUCACCACCUCGGAACCCCCUUCUCCAGAAUAGAUUUGCCCCUGAUGAAAGAGCUAGGAUUGUACCCAAUCCCAAUUUUAACUCCAUCUCCUCUCUCUUUGUCUCUCGCUCCCCCACACCCACCACACACAGGCACACAAUAUAAUUAGUGUUGUAAUGAUGC